CCUGCAACACAAAGUAGCCAUCGGCUUCCAUUCCUCCCCAUCUUUUGGGUCCUCUCCCUCUGCCUGGCAGCAACAGGGCAGGAGCUCCACCACUCUUUGGGAUGUAUCACCCCGGUGCAUUUCUCGCAGGAAAAAGAAUGGAGUAGAGAGUUUCCUUUGGUAAGAUUUUGACCAGAAUAUGUGCCUUGAUAUGCAUUAGAGAAGAUGCUGGUGAUAAAAUGAUAGUGUCUGAAGUACAUGCACAAUCGGGUCAAGAUUUGCUGUUGUGUGGACUGCUAUACCGUUUUCAAAAUGCCUAGAGCAUUUUAUGUAUAUAACAUUGAACCAAGCAGCAGAGAAGAUUUAUGCAGUGCGAGGAUGCUAACAAUAAAUGUCAUAUGCUUUCU